rnacentral:misc_RNA from 1 species
UCCGGUUUGGCACCGGCAGUCUCCCUAGAGUUCCCGGCAUGAUCCGCUGGCAACUAAGGACAGGGGUUGCGCUCGUUGCGCCACUUAAGGCAACACCUCACGACACGAGCUGACGACAGCCAUGCACCACCUGUACACCGACAAAAAGGGGCCCCAUCUCUGGGGCUUUCCGGCGUAUGUCAAACCCAGGUAAGGUUCUUCGCGUCGCAUCGAAUUAAUCCGCAUGCUCCGCUGCUUGUGCGGGCCCCCGUCAAUUCUUUUGAGUUUCAGCCUUGCGGCCGUACUCCCCAGGCGGGGCACUUACUGCGUUAGCGACGGCACCGGGAGGGUCGCUCCCCCCGACGCCUAGUGCCCAUCGUUUACGGCGUGGACUAC